rnacentral:lncRNA from 1 species
UCAAACAAACAGGUGGUGGGCAAAAGAAAAAUUUGGUGAAGGGUCUUUAUUCAUUCUACAAAUGUGUGAAGUAUGACAAUCCCUCGUCUUAAUUCACUUUGCAAAUCUAAAAGUAAUCAUGAUUUAAUGCUCAUUUUGCUUCCCAUUAACAACUUGGUUCCCCUACAAAAAACAAGCAACAAAGCAAGACACUUUAUUCAAAAAUGUAUUUUUUAUGUUAAAAACAUUCUUUAUUACAAACCCAACAAUGUGAAUUCGCUUAUUUAUCAGCUUGCCAUCACUGCAAUCAUU